rnacentral:rRNA from 1 species
UCUAUUUGCAUGCGUCGCAUAGCACGUAAUAAAUGUACGUUUAGGGGUGAUAGGCUUUUCAAACGUUCCUAUAACUUGUUUCAUAUGAAAAGUAUUAAGUACCUAAACAAAUUUAAAAAGUUAAGCUUUUAAAUAACUAUUAAAGAUAUUAUCCCCUUGUAGUGUAGUUUAAUAGCUAUCUACAUAAUAACUUAAUAUAAAGUAUAAUAGUUUAUAUUUUAUAAUAUGACGUUAACAAUUUUGUUUAAUAUUUGAAAAUGUUAGUAUUAGUAAUAUUAGUAUAUGUGCUAAAGGAACUCGGCAAAAAACCACUCAACUGUUUAUCAAAAACAUAGCUAUAUGAAUUAAUAUAUAGUUAUUUCUGCUCAAUGAUUUAAAUAGCCGCAGUACUCUGACUGUGCAAAGGUAGCAUAAUCAGUUGGCUUUUAAUUAGAGUCUGGUAUGAACGAAAAUAUGGGUAGUAACUGUCUUAGCAUAUUUUUUCGAACUUAUUAAACAAGUGCAAAUGCUUGUAAUUUAACAAUAGACGAGAAGACCCUAGAAACUUGGACAAGUUUUUGUUGGGGCGACAGAAUUACACUUAACUAAUCUUAUAAUACACGACGCGAUGUUGAAAGAAUAAGUUACUCUAGGGAUAACAGCAUAAUUUCAUUAGUUUGUGACCUCGAUGUUGGACUAGGUACUAUACCCUUAAGGCAAGGAUAUAUUAUGCUCUGUUCGAGCAAAAUUACCUACAU